AUUCCUCCUAUUCAUGGCUUCGCGUUAUUAAACGAGCGAACAUCAUAGGCGGUGCGCCAUGUCCGUCAGUCUUUCAGGGCUCAGGAAGGACGACGCCCCCUCAUAAAGCCCGCGCUCGGGUUCCAGCCGCAGCCAGAGCAGAGACGACGUGACAACCGCGGACACGCGCGCUCAGAGCAUCCUCACCUUGGAGACGCGAGCUUUUGGAGAAGACUUUCAAACACGCGCAGAGCGGCGUUCAGAAGACUUGGGCUCAACAGACCCUCACGCGCACCUCCCGACAGCCACCUUUAGCCCCCCCCUCCCCGCAGAAGACCAGUCUCCUCCCGACCGCUACCUGUAGCCCCGCCGCUCCGUCCCCCCCGGCUCCUCGUGGUAGAACACCGUGUUCCCGUGAUGUCAUACCUGUGGAUCCUGCUCUUAGGGAGCCUGCUCGCGGGCAGCGCCAAGGCACAAGAGGAGACGGCAGAUAUAGAUUCCCCUACUGACACUGCUGUAGAGGAAGAAGCUGUAGAAGAAGAAGCUCCUGCAGAAGAAGAAGAAGCUGUAGAAGAAGAAGCCACUUCAGAAGAAGACGCUACUGCAGAAGAAGAAGGUCCUGCAGAAGAAGAAGCCACUGCAGAAGAAGACGCUACUGCAGAAGAAGAAGCUCCUGCAGAAGAAGAAGCCACUGCAGAAGAAGAAGCCACUGCAGAAGAAGCUCCUGCAGAAGAAGCCACUGCAGAAGAAGCUCCUGCAGAAGAAGCUCCUGCAGAAGAGAAAGCUACUGAGGAAGAAGAAGCUACUGCAGAAGAAGAAGCCACUGCAGAAGAAGAAGCCACAGCAGAAGAAGAGGCUCCUGCAGUAGUAGCAGCUCCUGCAGAAGAAGAGGCUCCUGCUGAGGAAGAGGCUGCUGCUGAAGUCGAAGCUCCUGUAGAAGAAGAAGCUACUACAGAAGCAGCUCCUGCUGAGGAAAAGGAUACUGCAGUAGUAGCAGCUCCUGCAGAAGAGGAAGCCACUACAGAAGAGGCUACUGCAGAAGAAGAAGCUGUCACUGAAGUCGCAGUUAUUGCUGAAGAGGUGGCUCCUGCUGUAGAAGCAGCUGCACCUACUGAUGUCGAAGAAGAGGCUCCAACGCCUGUAGUGGAAGGGGAUACACCAUCUGAGGCUGCAGCUGACGGUGCCAAGCCGAGUGAAGGCGCGGAGGCAGUGGCAACCCCGGAGAAUGUUACGGAGGCUCCUGCCAUCAUCCCCGUAGCGGAAGCUCCCUCAGACGACCUGUUUGACUUGGCAGCUGCACUGGGACCGGUCGACCAGCCGUCACGCAAUGGGAAUAGUCGGAGUGGUGGCUCUGUUCCACACACAUCUGAAUCAUCAGCAGACGGAUCAGUGGAGGGAAAAUCCGCGGGCUCCGGGUCCCUGGCCGGCAUCCUGAGUGCCCUCUGUGUGGCGCUGGUGGGCUCCGUCAGCGGCUACUUCACCUACCAGAAGAAGAAGCUCUGCUUCAAGAACAGAGAAGCUGACCCUGAAGCAGCCCGGAAAGCUGACGCGGCAGCAGUAGCUGAAUCAGACCCCAGGGUAGGAAACACACACACACACACACACACACACACACACACACACACACACACACACAAACUCAAGAACACACACACACACACACAAACUCAUGGACAGACACACACACACACACACACACAAACUCAUGGACACACACACAGAGACACACACACGCUCACACACACACACACACACACAAAAACUCAUGACAUGCACACACACACACACACACACACACACACACACAAAGACGGAUGGACGCAUGAGGGUGCAUGCACACACAUGCACACCAGACACUCAGGCAUUGGUGCACACAUUCACAGUUGACCAAAAACACACACAAAAAUACAUGUAUACAAACCCUCACAAUGAUGUUCUCUUCAUGUACUGAUGAAGUCUGUUUUGUAUUUUUAUCAAACUCUAAUCUAAAUUCUCCUUUAUGUUAGUUUUUCCUUCUUCUUUCUGUUUUACCUCAUGUCUAUUGAUUGUCAAUCCCACACAACUCAUCGAUACACAUCGUGAUAAACAUUAUUGUAUUUAGUGUGCUGACUGUUUGUUGUCUGUUUAUUUGCAGUCCUUAGCACCCUGAUCACCUCCUCCUAGACCGCCAUCACAUGACCCUCAUCGACCAAUCGCAGCGGUGACUGUAGAGUAACGAGGGGGGUUUCACUUUAGGGUCGUGAACAUCUGACAUGCACGUUUGUGUGUGUGUUUGCACACAAAUGUGUUGAAGUUGAUGUGUGUGUGUGUUUAAAUAUGUCAGAGAAGGAGCAUUGAAAGAGAAUUUGAAUUAUUAUUGAAUAAUUCAAUUUGUGGGUGAUUUUGUUUUUUGUUCGUAAGUCCCUGAGAAAAUUUGAUAAUCAAUCCCCUUUAACUUGUGUACAAAUAAUAACCUGAAAUGGUAAACUAAACUGGAACAGCUUUUCUUCAUGUUUUGCACGAGAGUUCGGAUUUCUCAGCAGCACUAAGGUGCACUACAAUUGGUAUAACAGUUACACAAUACACACAACAAAGACACAUAGUGCAAACUUGUAUCUGCUUGGUUUCAGUCCGGUAAUCGUUGUACACUGUGAAUGUAGUUGGAGCCCCUGAGCUGCGACAGCAAUAGACAGGUGGCAGGUUCAGCCAUUCUGGAGCACCCAGUGUUCAUUGCAUUCCUACUGCACUGCUGGAGCACUUUGACUUCACACACGCUUUGGACAAAGACUAAUGCAAUGUGGCCGGCUCACUAGAAAGGCUUAUCUCUGAUACAUGCUGGGUGCAUCCUUCAAUGGCUGGGGCUGCUGUACUGGACCACGAGAUAAAGUGUUCGGUGGUCCGAUCCCUCCUAGACUGGGCCUGUAUGUGUUAUGUGUGCAUACAUACGUGUGAUGUGUGUGUUUUUUGACUGGUUGGUUGGUGGUGGGGAGUUUCCAUGUUCUGGGUGACCACUGUUCCUCUUCUUAGUGAAUUCAGGAAGCACGUUCAAGCAGGGUUUCAAAAUAAUAUUCAAAUAAGACAAAAAAAGUUCUCAACGUUUUAUUUGAUGACAACACCUGAAAAUAAAAAAAGGGACAAGUCACUGUUCAAAUCCACAAGAACUUUUAGUUGUCAUUUAUUUCAUUUAUAAUCUCCUGAAUUGACUCAAGUGAGGUAGGGUGAACCUCCUUUUUGUGUCUGUCGACAAUGCGUCCUCCAGAGUGGACGGACCAGUGAUGUUUGGUGGCGUACUCUUGGAUCUAGUCUGUAAAUCUAGUUGUGAUGCAGUCCUGUCUGCGGUGCCUUCCACUGACACAGCGCUCACUUGAACGAGCUCCAGAAACGAACGCAUUUAAAGCGCACAUUUUGGGCCAUUACGAGGAAUGAUAAUGUUUUCUUAGUUUACAAUCUCAUAACAGGAAUCAUCUUUAUCCAAUCAAUGAGUGACGGCUAGCAAAGAUUGGGAACCAUCGGACCAAUGGGAAGGGACGGGGUGGGGCUUUUGACUUUGUAAUGACAGUUAGAUGAUUGAUGUCCUCCCAGCUGCUUUGACUCUAGGAUAAAAAACAUCCUGAUCUGAGUGGCUCGUAUGUUUCUGGAACAGUUGAUCAAGUAGGUUGCUGUCGCUAUAUAUAUAUAUAUAUAUAUACAAAUAAUAGAUGUUUCUCGAUCAAAUCCUUUCUGAUCAUUUAUGUAUCUUGUUAGCACCGCCUCAAAGCUGAUGCGAACAUCUUGUCAAGGGUGGAACUUCUCGUUCAAAUUAUAAAACUGGAUCAGAUGUUUAAAAUUAUAAAAUGGAUCACCCUUUUUCACCAUUUUAGUUCUAACAAUGUAAGAAUAUCACUCUGUUGCCUUGUUGUUUGAUGCCUUCCUUUCUGUACCAGCCUCCUUUGAUUUGUCAGAAGGGUUUUUUGUAUGAUGUGCUCAACGUCCACCGUUUGGUUUUAGGAGACAAUAAAAGGCUGUUGCUUGGCGGGCUAGCCGAGGUCAAAGACCUGAUGUGUGAUGGUCUGUUUUUAUAUUGCCCACAUAUCAUGGGCUCAGCCUCUUGAUGCGACCCAGGUCCGGUUCAUUCCUGCUCCACUGCUGUGUGUUCUGCCCAGCAACUAUACAGAACCCACAACACGAUUGGUUGCAUAUACUUUGAGGUAUAAAACUGAUUCACUAAAUGUGUAUCCAGGCCCUUUAAGCAAGACAUCCAUACUUAAAGGGUAAUUCCGAUGUAAAAUGGAUUUGGGAUAUGUUUUGUACGACAACGAGUUGAAACGUUCAUUUUGGAGCACAAAAACUGCUAUAGACGCUUUCUUCAGUUGGCCGUUUUUAGCCGAUUCUAUCAAACCGCUAUAAACUUGGAACGAUUGGGGCACUGGUUAUGGUAAAAACUAAAUCGCUAUUUUAAACCACUUAAAAGGCUAAAAGUAGCCCGACACUUCUUUGGUAGUAUAAUAAGGGUGUUAACAUAUAAAACGAGGCAUUGAGAACUUUUUAAGUGUUCAGAUUGUUUAUUAAAAAGGACAUUUUAUACACACAAUACCAUCAGUAGAUCACCCGUCAACACCAUUUUGUUUUUAAGACUCGAUAGGUAGAUUGACGAACACAGAGAUUUUGACAUCCAUCAGGAACACGCAAGCUAUGUUCGCCAAUCUACUUAUCGAGUCUUAAAAACAAAAUGGCGUCGACGGGUGAUCUACUGAUGGUAUUGUGUGUAUAAAAUUUCAUUUUUUUAUAAACAAUAUGUACAGUUACAAAGUUCUCAAUGCCUCGUUUUAUAUGUUAAGACUCUUAUUAUACUACCAAAGAAGUGUCGGACUACUUUUAGCCUUUUAAGUGGUUUAAAAUAGGGAUUUAGUGUUUACCAUAACCAGUGCCCCCAUCGUCAAAUUUAUAGCGUUUUGAUAGAAUCGGCUAAAAACAGCCAACUGUAGAAAGCGUCUAUAUGCGUUUUUUGUGCUCAAAACGAACGUUUCAACUCGUUAUAUCCCAAAUCCAUUUUACACCGGAAUUACCCUUUAAGUGCUGCACAGUUAAGUCUUUACUAUCUUCUGGAAUAUGUUAAUGGUCAAAAACUAAAGGACAUUCCCUUUAAGGAAGCUAGAAAUUAAUGCCUAUGUUAAACUGUGAAAGUCAAGCUGGAUGUGUAAAAGGGCAUUUGGCAAUAAGCCACAAUGAUGUAAUUGACGUAUGUCCUAUAGGUGAUCAAUUAAAUAUACUAUUCCUAUUCCUGAUAAUAGUUGGUAGGUAGUGGAUGAGCUGUACAUCAUACCCCCCUCCCCCCCACACACACAUACUCACUGCGCUUUGGGUACCUAGAAAAGGUAUAUGAAUUCAAUCAAUUUGUUAAUUAUUACUAACACAAAAUAAUAUAUGGGUGGGGGGUUGUGUGUGUACGAUAUCUUUGUUGUGUGUGGGUGGGUGUUUUUUAGCUAAUCUGGCCCCAAGAUGUGAUUGGGCUCCAAAGUUAGCUACAUGUCAUGUUGUUGAUGUUAGUAAGCAUUCCUUGUUACCAAUCAGGAAGUUGUUGGGAUCUAUGGCUCGCUGCUUCCUAAAGUGCACUUCCAGAAUAUUCCGAGGACAUGACAAUUGACUCCAUCCAAUUCUGCCUUAAACCAGUUCACAGUUUUUUUCUAAGAAAUACUAAACAAAAAAGGGAUCAAGCUGAAAUGUUUUAGGAAGAAUUGAGUCCAAUAUACUUUUAUCUUUGGUUAACCUAACUCAAUGAAUUCAGAAAAUCACUUUUUUAUCCUGGUUUCGGGAGCAAAAAGAGCAUUUCUAAUAAUUCAUGCAGACUCAUAUGACUUUGAUUUCACUAUUUAAUUAUUGUCUUUGUCACAUUUUGUAUUUCAUUCUAACCGUCUGUAAUCUGGCACAUGUUUGUUUUGUUUUUGUUGUGUAAAUAAUGUUAUAAGUCAAUAAACAAUGUUUUUGUGGGGGCUGGAGUCUCACUCUCUAAGAGAAAAACA
ensembl:lncRNA